rnacentral:lncRNA from 1 species
CGAAACUCCAGCUCAAAAAAAAAAAAAAGAAAAGAAAAGAAAAGAAGAAAGAAAAAGAAAAGAAAAGAAGAAAGAAAAAGAAAAGAAAAGAAGAAAGAAAAAGAAAAGAAAAGAAAAAAGAUUCCUAUUCUGCCUAUGUAAACCUAUCCUCUAAGUCAGAGGAAGCUGAGAGGCUGAAGAAGGAGGCUGACAAGGUUUUUUGCAUGUCUGACACCAAUGGCUCCACCUGGACCCGAUGGCUCCGCCUGGACCUGCCAAACUCCUCCUAUGGUUCCACCCAGGAACAACUCAGCUCAAGAAGACAGUUUCAACCACCUAUGAUUUCAUCUCCAUCUCAACCAAUCAGCAAUAGUCACAUAGACACUUUACUUACUCCAAGAACAGCCAUCUCCAGGUCAAGAUUAUAGAGUAACACAUGUUUUCUUCUUUUACUAUUUUUCCUCGGUUGUACCUUUGAGUAAUUAAGACAAUUGGAUUUUAUUUUGGAUGUGAGUAUGGGGCAGGGGUUUAACUUUAUUAUUUUCUAAAUUUUUAGCCAGCUUUUUUUCCUCACUUCAUUUAUUAAACAAUUCAUCUUUUCCCCAUGGAUUUACAAAUUUGCCUUCUAAAUCUUAAAUCCCAAUAUACACGUGGGUUCAUUUUUGGUACUUCUGUUCUAUUAAUGCUUGUGUAUUUUGCAGCUAGUAACACCCUAUUUCAAAUACUAGAGCCUUAGAACAUUUUUGUAUGUGAUUUGUAAACUUCUAUUUCCUACUCUGUAAAGUAAAAUGUCUCAGCUAGUCUCACAGUUUUCCAAAUGUACGUCAGAAUCAUUUUGUCAAUUUUCAAAAUAAUCCAUUGAGAUUUCAGUGAGAUUAGCUAUUACUUGAUGAGGGCUGAUAUCAUUAACACAGUGAGACUUACUUUUGGCUACAUGGCAUGUUUCUAUAUUUAUUUCCAUUUUAAAUGUAUCUCAAUAAAAC